rnacentral:rRNA from 1 species
UACGGAGGGAGCUAGCGUUGUUCGGAAUUACUGGGCGUAAAGCGCACGUAGGCGGCUUUUUAAGUCAGUGGUGAAAUCCCGGGGCUCAACCUCGGAACUGCCCUUGAAACUGGGAAGCUAGAAUCUUGGAGAGGCGAGUGGAAUUCCGAGUGUAUAGGUGAAAUUUGUAGAUAUUCGGAAGAACACCAGUGGAGAAGGCGUCUCGCUGGACAAGUAUUGACCCUGAGGUGCGACAGCGUGGGGAGCAAACAGG